UACGUAGGGUGCAAGCGUUGUCCGGAAUUAUUGGGCGUAAAGAGCUCGUAGGCGGCUCGUCACGUCGGCUGUGAAAACCCGGGGCUCAACCCCGGGCCUGCAGUCGAUACGGGCGAGCUAGAGUUCGGCAGGGGAGACUGGAAUUCCUGGUGUAGCGGUGAAAUGCGCAGAUAUCAGGAGGAACACCGGUGGUGUAGACGGCUAUCGUGGACCGUAACUGACGCUGAGACACGAAAGCGUGGGUAGCAAACAGG
rnacentral:rRNA from 1 species